rnacentral:misc_RNA from 1 species
UCCCGCUUGACGCGGGCAGUCCCCCUAGAGUGCCCAACUGAAUGCUGGCAACUAACGACAGAGGUUGCGCUCGUUGCGGGACUUAACCCAACAUCUCACGACACGAGCUGACGACAGCCAUGCAGCACCUUCUCACUCGCUCCCCGAAAGGCACCAAAGCAUCUCUGCUAAGUUCGAGUGGAUUUAACCCAGGUAAGGUUCUGCGCGUUGCGUCGAAUUGAACCACAUGCUCCACCGCUUGUGCGGGCCCCCGUCAAUUCCUUUGAGUUUCAGCCUUGCGGCCGUACUCCCCAGGCGGGACACUUACUGCGUUAGCGACGGUACCGAGGGGGUCGCUCCCCCCGACGCCUAGUGUCCAUCGUUUACGGCGUGGACUAC